GGGCGGUUAGCUCAGCGGGAGAGCGUUGCCUUGACACGGCAAAGGUCACAGGUUCAAUCCCUGUACCGCCCACCA
rnacentral:tRNA from 1 species